rnacentral:rRNA from 1 species
AAGCCUACCCUAGCUCCACCAACCACAAUCAAGAACCCACCACCACACCCAACCAAAACAUUCUCAUCCAACCUAGUAUAGGCGAUAGAAAAGUGCAACUCGGACGCCAUAGAAAAAGUACCGCAAGGGAAAGAUGAAAUAACAAUGAAAACCAAGCACCACAUAGCAAAGAUAAACCCUUGUACCUCUUGCAUCAUGAUUUAGCAAGAACAACCAGACAAAGCGAGCUUAAGCCUGCCACCCCGAAACCCAAGCGAGCUACUAACAAGCAGCUGCCCCGAGCCAACCCGUCUCUGUUGCAAAAGAGUGGGACGACUUAUUAGUAGAGGUGAAAAGCCAACCGAGCUGAGUGAUAGCUGGUUACCUGCAAAACGAAUUUGAGUUCUACCUCAGCCCCUUCCCCAAGACAAACCAAUCAAGUCCCCAUGCAAUGGGCUAAGAGCUAUUUAAAGGGGGUACAGCCCCUUUAAAAAAGGAUACAACCUCCACCAGCGGAUAACCCCACCCCAACCUAACCCCCGUGGGCCUUAAAGCAGCCACCCUUAAAGAACGCGUCAAAGCUCUACAAACUAAAAAAUCCAAAAACAACGUAAAUCCCUGAACCCAUAGCAGGUCAACCUACAACAGUAGAUGAAUUAAUGCUAGAACGAGUAACCAGGACACCAAGUCCCCUAAAGCGCCAACCUAAACACCAUUAACAGCACAGCCCCAAUACCAAACCCCCGACUAAACAUUGAGCACACCCUGUCAGACCAACCCAGGAGCGCACACUAGGAUGAUUAAAAUCUGCAGAAGGAACUCGGCAAACCUAAGACCCGACUGUUUACCAAAAACAUAGCCUUCAGCCGAACAAGUAUUGAAGGUGAUGCCUGCCCAGUGACACACGUUUAACGGCCGCGGUAUCCUAACCGUGCAAAGGUAGCGCAAUCAAUUGUCCCAUAAAUCGAGACCUGUAUGAACGGCUAAACGAGGCCUUAGCUGUCUCCUGCAGAUAAUCAGUGAAAUUGAUCCCUCUGUACAAAAGCAGAGAUGAACACAUAAGACGAGAAGACCCUGUGGAACUUCAAAAUCAAUAGCCACCACACCCAACCUACAAACCCACCAGGCUCACUACCCAAAAACACUGGCUAACAUUUUUAGGUUGGGGCGACCUUGGAGAAAAACAAACCCUCCAAAAAUAGGGCCAACCCCCUAACUAAGAGCAACCCCUCAACGUGCCAACAGCACCCAGACCCAGUAAAACUGACCAAUGAACCAAGCUACCCCAGGGAUAACAGCGCAAUCUCCCCCAAGAGCCCCUAUCGACGAGGAGGUUUACGACCUCGAUGUUGGAUCAGGACAUCCUAGUGGUGCAGCCGCUACUAAGGGUUCGUUUGUUCAACGAUUAACAGUCCUACGUGAUCUGAGUUCAGACCGGAGUAAUCCAGGUCGGUUUCUAUCUAUGAUUAGCCUUUCCCAGUACGAAAGGACCGGAAAGAUAGGGCCAAUGCCCCAAGUACGCCCUCUCCCUAAGCGAUGUACUCAACUAAAUCACUAAAGGACCACACAUUACCCCAACGAAAAAGGCUG